AUGAGUUUGGUCCUGAAAGUACUGGUGUCAUGUCAUGUAUUUUUAGUAUUGAUUUGAAAAAGGAUAGUUCAUCAAGCAAACGACAUUUUGCACUAAUAUUUGGGUUGGCUGGAGCUGGUAUGGCAGUAUUAUGCAUGUCUUUAGUUUUGGGAUUGUAUAUCUGGUGGAACAAAAGGUGGAGGAAAAAUGAUGAUGUGGAAAUGGA
rnacentral:misc_RNA from 1 species